rfam:Brachypodium distachyon strain Bd21 chromosome 2, whole genome shotgun sequence.
CCUAUACUUUCACCGUCCAGCAAAAGAUGUCUCAAGUUUGUCAAAAUGUUGAUGUAUGUAGACAUGACUUGAUGUAUAGAUGCAUUCAAAUUUAAUCAAAAUUCAGACAUCCUUUGUUAGACGAAGGAAGUACUUU